ACCGAAGCCAACUCCAGAACAACUGAGGGACAGACGAUGCGAUCAAGAACCACUCGUCAAGAGGAGCACUACACCUGCAACGCUGACACUUCCGAUGUUGCUGAUGUUUAUGGUGUCCGUGGCGAUUACAGCGUGUCACAAACAACUACAAUGGACACAAGAACAUAUGCAGAAGAUUAAAGAAGAGCGUGAUCCCUUUGGAAGCUGGCUGGACGGACUGUUUGGGGGAACGGGUUCAUGGUUAAAGCAAUUGCUUAAAGCUCUCGCAUAGGAUUUGCAAUCUUUGUGUGUAUUCUAAUCUGUCUUCCAUGCUUUGUAGGAUGCUUGCAGAACUGCCUUCAACGAAUGAUGGACAAGACUUUUGACUAUCGCAUUGAGUAUCAUAGAUUGCGUGAAAAAUUAUAGAGGGGUUUAGGUUGUUGCGUUCGUGCUGUAACGGGGCAAGGCUUGGCCGAGCACGGGAAAGAAUUCCCUGUUGCUCUGAUGAUUGCUUAAGAAUUAUUGCGUAAAAAUUAUAGAGGGGUUUAGGUUGUUG
ensembl:lncRNA